AUUGAACGCUGGCGGCAUGCCUUACACAUGCACGUCGAACGGUAGAGGGGGCAACCCCUCGAGAGUGGCGAACGGGUGAGUAAAGCAUCGGAACGUGCCCAGUAGUGGGGGAUAGCCCGGCGAAAGCCGGAUUAAUACCGCAUACGACCUACGGGUGAAAGGGGGGGAUCGCAAGACCUCUCGCUAUUGGAGCGGCCGAUGUCAGAUUAGGUAGUUGGGGGGGUAAAGGCCUACCAAGCCGACGAUCUGUAGCUGGUCUGAGAGGACGACCAGCCACACUGGGACUGGGACACGGCCCAGACUCCUACGGGAGGCAGCAGUGGGGAAUUUUGGACAAUGGGCGCAAGCCUGAUCCAGCCAUGCCGCGUGCGGAAAGAAGGCCUUCGGGUUGUAAACCGCUUUUGUCAGGGAAGAAAUCCUUUGAGCUAAUACCUCGGGGGGAUGACGGUACCUGAAGAAUAAGCACCGGCUAACUACGUGCCAGCAGCCGCCGUAAGAC
rnacentral:rRNA from 1 species